GUCGGCUGCGCGCUCUCUGCAGAAAAGGAUUUUCUACGCUCCCCGCCCAUCACUUGGAUCUCGUCUGGGGAGGGGCGGAUUUUUUUUCUGGAAGUACCCUUCUUCUCCACGGUGGAGGAUUUAAGGCUGGGCUCCAAUCGAGGCGGAGGCUGCAGGGCCCGCGGGGCGCCCCCCGCCCGGCGCACGCCUGCCCGGAGCCCGGGAAGGCGCAGCCCUGGGUGGGGGGGCCCGUGCACCCCCGGAGGCGGCAGCGGCGGUGAGUGCUCCCCUUCUUCCCGCCUGGCACCUUCCGCCAGCCAAGGCAGGGAUCGCGGCAGGUGGGUGCCCAAGCCCCCAGGGCCGAAGGGGUGUGGGGCGGCUGUCUGCGGGGUGGAUGGGAACGGGAGAGGGGAGGUGGCGGCGGGGGAGCGCGCGGUUCUCUCGGGACUCGGCGCGAGACGCUUGUCUGGGCUGCGAUUGCCGCCGCUGCCGCCACCCCGGCUCCCCCUCGGACCCCUCCCCCGCUCCCCAGAGGGGCGUGUGAAGCCGGGAGGUAGGAAGGGGGCGAGGCCGCCCCCAGCCUCCCUAGUGCCUGGGCUUGGAAAUUGACGAGGCGGUGGAGCGUCCGCGUCCCCGCCCCCACCCCGGAAAGCCCGCUCGGGAAACUGACUCGCUGCGUGACCCCGAUCUCAAUGCCGCGCGCGGAGCAGGCCGGCCGCGCCCGCCGCUCCACGUGCGCCCGAGCCCCGCUGGCAUGGGCGGCGGCGCCUGCGGGGGCCGGGCCCCGGGGAUCCCGGACUAGCCGGGAACCACCGUCCCCAGAGAGUUACCGCCGCCCCCUAAAGUUGUCAGCUCCCUCCCCCCGAGAAGCAGGCAGCCCUGGCGCGUUGGCUUUAGCUUCUGCAGGACGGGGGCAAAAAAACUAGGUUCCGGGGUGCGGAGCGGGGUGUCUGUGCCCGAGACAACACCAAGUUAGGAAAAAGAAGUUAGAAAAAAAAAGAAAAAGGCAUUUUGAUUUGGGGGUGGGGGGAGUGGCGUUUCUGGUUUCUCUUUGCUUCCAAUCCCCACCAAGCGGAGCGUUGGAAUGCGCCGCUUAUGUCCUCUGAGGACACAUCCAUAUUUAUAAUUUAUUUUUAGGAGAAGUUGUGAAAAAGGGAGGGGGGUUAAAAUGAGGAGAAAAGGUGCGUGGGGGAGUGGCCUUUCCAGAACCUAGAGGCUAAUUAAGCUAUUAAAAUGGAAAUCAUUUCCCCCAACUUGGGCGCGCAGCAAAUUUGACUUUAAUGAGAGACGAUUAAGGACACAAAUAACCAAACUUUAUUUAGCUGGAGAUGGGGUGGGGGGAACUGUACGAGGCACCUCGGACACCCGAUUUAUCCGCUGCUAAGGGACGUUUGGGGCACCCCUCGUGUUGUCCGGGAAGCUUUUAGGCCUGUUUGCUGGGCGAGAUUGGUGAUUGCUCCGGGAGGGAAGAGACACCCCGGGAUCAAGCGAUCCUCUUGCCCUCAGCCAUGGUGUGGCAAAUGUCCCCUCCUCCCACAGCGACCCCCUGGCAUUUUGGUGAGAUGAACCGCCGCCCUGAGGGAACACCCAGUAACGAUUCCUUCAGUGAUCCCGGUUCUCCAAACUCUUGCCUCAAAGGCGGCCUGCCCCGGUGCUGUCAGCCGUGAAUGGGGACUCACUUCUUGGGAAAAGAGGCUUUUGGAGGCUGUGGUCUCAGAAUCGGGGUUUUGAGGGCGAGAUGAGUUUAUGUUUUAUCCAACUGGCCCUCAAAGUCCCGCUUUUGGGGUCAUUCUGGACAGCGAGGGACUCAGGCCCCGGCAGUCUCGGGAGGGUGAGGGCAGAGAGCUACCACCCCCAGGGAGCGCGUCCAAAACCCGGCUGGCGGGGGGGCGGGGAAAGAGGGGGAGGUUUGCUACUUUCCAUAAAACUAAAAGGUCCCUUCGAGGGCGGUAUUCUUAUAAGUGUGUGUUCUCAGUUUGCCGAACCUACUGUGUUUUCCAAGGGCUUCUCUCCUUGGGAGGCCGAAAAACGAUACAAGGAGGAGAAAGUACAUUCCCCCUGACCACCCCCACAGUGGUUUAAGGGACAGUAUUGGAUUGGAAAGGAAUUAGUAGGAUGUCAAUUGUGGCAAAGUGUUUGAAGCCCCCAAAUAAGGCGCUCCUGAAAUGAUGAAUUGUAACGACAUUAGAUUUGUCUUUACGUUUGCUAAAUUAGGAGAAACCAGCUGUUUGCUUCCACCUGGAAUUGCAACAUUUCUUUGCAACUCUUUGCUGUUGAAGGCGUUCUUUUUGUUCUGUUUUGUUUUGUUUGUUUGUUUGUUUGUUUUUUGGGGACAGAAUCUCGCUCUGUCCAGGCUCUGACCAGGCUGGAGUGCAGUGGCGCGAUCUUGGCUCACUGCAACCUCUGCUUCCCGG
rnacentral:lncRNA from 1 species